AUGUUCAUUAUUGCUUUUCUGGCAUUGUGUCUCCUGCCUCUGCCUGCACAAGCCAUCACCAGACACUAUGAGUUCAAUAUUACAAUGGCAAAUGUCACUAGAUUGUGCCGUACUAAAAGUAUAGUGACAGUCAAUGGAAAAUUCCCAGGGCCUCGUAUUGUGACAAGGGAGGGUGAUCGUCUCCUUAUAAAAGUCAAUGACCUUGUUCCUAACAACAUUUCCAUUCAUUGGUAUAAUCUUUGGGCCUUAAUUAGAUUCUACUACAUUUGCUUCCUUACUACUGGCCAAAGUUAUGUAUACAAUUAGACAAUUGUUGGUCAAGGAGGGACUUUGUUGUGGCAUGCUCAUAUUUCAUGGCUAAGAUCUACUCUUUAUGGCCCUCUAAUUAUCCUUCCAAAGAAAAAUGGAUCCUACCCUUUUGUCAAACCAUUCAAGGAAGUUCCAAUCAUCUUAGGAGAAUGGUUCAAUGCUGAUCCUCAAGCCAUCAUUAGCCAAGCUUUACAAACUGGUGGAGGUCCAAAUGUCUCUGAUGCUUACACCAUCAAUGGCCUUCCCGGGCUUUUGUACAACUGCUAUGCAAAAGAUACAUUCAAACUAAAGGUUAAGCCAGGAAAAAUUUAUCUUCUCCGUAUGAUCAAUGCUGCACUCAAUGACGAGCUUUUCUUUAGCAUUGCAAAUCAUACUCUUACAGUAGUCGAUGCUGAUGCAGUAUACAUUAAACCUUUUGAGACUGACACAAUACUUAUAACACCAGGACAGACCACAAAUGUUCUUCUAAAAACCAAAUCUGAAUACCCUAGUGCCACUUUUCUCAUGACUGCUAGACCCUAUGUUACUGGCCAAGGCACUUUUGACAACUCCACUGUUGCUGGAAUUCUUGAAUAUGAAUCCCCAAUUCAACAUUCAACCAAAUCAAUCAAGCAACUUCUCAUGUUCAUACCUACUUUACCUCCUCUAAAUGACACUUCCUUUGCUACCAAUUUUAGUAAGAAACUCCGUAGUUUGGCAAGUUCUCAAUUUUCUGCUAAGGUCCCUUAAAAUGUUGACAAACAUUUCUUUUUCACAGUAGGCCUUGGCACAACUCCUUGUGACAAAAAUCAAACUUGUCAAGGUCCUACUAAUACAACCAAAUUUGCAGCAUCGAUUAAUAAUAUAUCAUUUGUACAACCUACAACUGCACUACUCCAAUCUCAUUUCAUUGGACAAUCAAAUGGUGUUUACAGCCCUUAUUUUCCUAUUAAUCCUUUGCAUUGGUUCAAUUAUACCGGAAAUCCUCCAAAUAACACAAUGGUUAACAAUGGUACUAAAGUUUUGGUACUUCCUUUUAAUACAAGUGUUGAGUUAAUCAUGCAAGAUACAAGUAUUCUUGGUGCUGAAAGCCAUCCUCUUCAUCUUCAUGGCUUCAAUUUCUUUGUUGUUGGUCAAGGUUUUGGUAAUUUUGACCCUAGUAAGGAUCCUGCUAACUUCAAUCACAUUGACCCUGUUGAGAGGAACACCGUAGGUGUGCCAUCUGGUGGAUGGGUCGCUAUUCGAUUUUUAGCUGAUAAUCCAGGUGUUUGGUUCAUGCAUUGUCACUUGGAAGUGCAUACAAGUUGGGGAUUGAAGAUGGCAUGGCUUGUCUUAGAUGGAAAGCUUCCCAAUCAGAAAUCCUUCCUCCUCCUUCUGAUCUCCCAAAAUGCUGA